rnacentral:tRNA from 1 species
UGGGGCGUCGCCAAGCGGUAAGGCACUGGACUCUGACUCCAGCAUCCCAAGGUUCGAAUCCUUGCGCCCCAGCCA